GACGUAGGGCGCGAGCGUUUGUCCGGAUUUAUUGGGCGUAAAGAGCUCGUAGGCGGCUUGUCGCGUCGACUGUGAAAACCCGCGGCUCAACCGCGGGCCUGCAGCCGAUACGGGCAGGCUAGAGUUCGGUAGGGGAGACUGGAAUUCCUGGUGUAGCGGUGAAAUGCGCAGAUAUCGGGAGGAACACCAGUGGCGAAGGCGGCGACCUGGACAGAUAUUGACGCUGAGACGCGAAAGCGUGGGGAGCGAACAGG
rnacentral:rRNA from 1 species